GCGCUGACGUUUCCUGAGCGGCCAGCAGAAGAGCUCUCAGGACCUGCUCCUGCCCAGACUCAGACACCGGCUGUUCUGGAGCCCACUUUUAUUGUACUUGCUGCGCUGCCACUGGA